rnacentral:rRNA from 1 species
UAGAGUUUGAUCAUGGCUCAGGACGAACGCUGGCGGCGUGCCUAAUACAUGCAAGUCGAGCGGAUUUAUUCCUUCGGGGAUGAGUCAGCGGCGGACGGGUGAGUAACACGUAGGCAACCUGCCUGAAGGAUCGGGAUAACUAUCGGAAACGAUAGCUAAGACCGAAUAAUUGGCACUUUCGCAUGAAGGCGUCAUGAAACACGGAGCAAUCUGUGGCCUUUGGAUGGGCCUGCGGCGCAUUAGCUAGUAGGUGAGGUAACGGCUCACCUAGGCGACGAUGCGUAGCCGACCUGAGAGGGUGAACGGCCACACUGGGACUGAGACACGGCCCAGACUCCUACGGGAGGCAGCAGUAGGGAAUCUUCCGCAAUGGACGCAAGUCUGACGGGGCAACGCCGCGUGAGCGAUGAAGGUUUUCGGAUCGUAAAGCUCUGUUGCCCUAGACGAACGAGUCAGAGAGUAACUGCUCUGGCUGUGACGGUAUAGGAGAAGAAAGCCCCGGCUAACUACGUGCCWGCCGCCGCGGKAAUUC